CACAACAUGAGGGACUGUAUUAAAGGGUAGCAUCAUUGGGAAGGUUGAGGACCACUGUCUUAAUAAGUGGUAGGACCACAAAACAGUCCAGGAGUUUCUCAGAAAAUGUGGGAGGGGGACCCCACAACUCAGUAGUUCCAGGUUUAGGGAUCUACCCAAGAGAAAUAAGAACACAUCCACACAGAACGUGUAUACAAAUGUUUGUAACAGUGUUACUCGUUGCCUCAACACAACCCAAGCAUCUAGCAAGAAAAUAUUAAAGUGAAAGUAUCCUACCACCCUAUGCUUGUGUAUUAGUCAGCUCUGAAACAAAAUAAAGGAUUAAUGUAUGCUACACGAAACGUUAGCCUAAGUGGAAGAGGCUGCUCACAGAAGACCACACACACACACACACACACACACAGUCCCAUUUAUAAAAGAAUAGGCAGAGACCAACAGACAAAGAAACUGGAUUAGUGGGUUGCUUAGGAAAGGGGCCGAUAGAAGGAAAUGGGAAAAGACCACUGGUGGGAAUGAUGUUCGCUGAAGCAGUGAAAGGCAGUUUUUAGGAUGGGUGCACCAUUCUGUAAAUGUACUGAACACCAGUGAGUUGUACACUUUCAGUGGAUGCGUAGGGUGGUAUAUGAACUAUAUCUCAAUAUAGAUGCUAAAUAAUACUUACUCUAUCCAAUCCAUACCAGGUCCUAGGAUAAGCACUGGCUACACAGAAGGGAUGCAGGCUCUGAACCCAUGAGCUAGAUCUACAGCAUAAUUGGUAGAUUUUUGCCAUCCCAGAGUCCCAUGACCCUCUGGAAGAAUGAAAUAACCUCCUUGUGCUGUAGUGCAAAGGUUUCUAGGGCCAACGAAAGUCAAGACUUUUCCAACAAAUCAUAUCCGGAGGUAUUGAGUUUCUGUCAUUUCUCUGUCUUUGCUCUUCUACUGCACCGACACAAAUGGCUGAAAGCCUCUCUGCAGACUUAGUGCUAUCUUUGAACCAGAGUAGUGAUUCCCAUGACAGCAGCCUCGUGCAAGCCCAUAGCAUGUGUGUGGGCAGCAAGUGUAGAAUCCUUGCCACGAAGCUCCAAAUCCUAGCCUCCCCUCUCACUAGCUCCUUGAACUUACUCAAAACACUCAUCUUCUUUGUGCCUUAGUUUCCUUGCAUGAGACAUGAGGAUAAGAGUGUCUAUGCCCUAAAGAUUUUGUAAAACGUGAAUUAAUAUAUGUACAAUCAUGGUGUGGGGUAGUUGUCUGCAAAGAUCUCAGGCGCCUUCUCCAUAAGCCACUAGGUGGUGCAGGUGUACCACUUCGGGCAACAAAGAUGGCCCCCGGAGGUCCAGCACUGUAAACUGUGUGCUUUGGUAAAUGAUGUGGGUGAUUCUCCAGUGCUGUAGCUGUGGGUCAUCUGUAAGUUAUAUAUGGCAGCAUCACCUAUAACACAGCAAUUAUGCCAUUAGCUGGGGGAAAAGUUGUGUUUAAUGCAGAGAAAACCAGUCUACAGAUCACAGGCUUACAGCCUGGGCAGAGCUCAGCACCCUGACUGCUUUGUAUUAUCACCCAAGCAUGGUGCUGCCACCCACAUCCGAGGUCUCCCACAGUUACCUUUCAUUUUAUAAAUAGUUAUGACACCCCCUGAUCAUCCUCAAAUAAAAUUUAUAGAUGAUAUAGCCUUCCAACAUACCUAACUUCCUCUUCCAUAUCAACUAAAAUAUCUUACUAAGGGCAUGAGAAAAAGCCACACACAGUGAAAGCUUAUGUAAGUGCCUGGGCAUAAGAACACAAGAUAUCAUAAUAGAGUGGGUAAAUACUUUCAUCUGUGUGUGGGAUGACCAGGGAGACCACAGUAACAAUGACUGGUAGAGAUGUGAUCUAAACCCCUUGAGUAGCAUUGCCAUAAGCAAUAUGAUUUUUCAAAGUGGCCACAGUGUUUGGUCAAAUAAAAAUAAAUGUGUAUUCUAAGACAAGGUAAGGUUGACCUUUGCCUACCAAUGAUUUUUUUCUUUUUUAUCUCCAUGAUGUUUAGUGUAGUAUUUAGAAAGAUACAGGAAAAUAGCUCUGUUGUGCAUGACUGUCCUACAUACCAUGGACUGUAGGAACCUGGCACUUACUGUCCCUGGCUACUAAAUAGACAUGGUGACCCCUACUCUCAAUACUGUGGCAGCCAAAAUCACUUCCCCACAAAUUUCCAAUUGAACAAUGGGCUCUCGGUUGGGCACUAGCACUUCAGGCUCCAAAUUGCUCGGGCGUUCCUAGCAAGGUUGGCAUUUGCUCUACUCGGAGCAGAACUUGUAAAUGGCAUUUAGUUUCUUUCUAGCCUUCACAAACACACUUGUUUGGGGCUAGAGUUGGCACUCAAAGAGGGUUCCAGAAGAAGGAGGACCUCUUUCUCUGAAUGUAUUCCCUCGUGUUUGCCCUUUGUCCAGGAAGGGAGACCCAAAGGAGGCUGGCCUUUCUUGUCAAUCUUACCCACAGUCUGGUGGCCUCCUGGAGGCUUUUUAGCAAAACCCAGCUGAGAAGUAAAUCAGCACAGACAUAAUCCUGAUUUUAGCAACUAGAGCCAGGGCCCUGGCCUGGGAGAAUUACCUGCGUUCUACCUGCGCGGUAUGUCAAUCACAAGCCAUUCUUGCCGUGUCUUUUCAGGAGUGAACCUAGUGAGCCCAGAGCUCCUCCGGACAAGGCUCUGACAUGCUGGCUGGCAGGCAUGGGCUUGUUCAUAGAGCUCAGUUCACUGUAUUCAACUCCACCUGCAUCGAGGCAUUUUCCGGUAUGACAUGGCCUGAUCCCCUCGCUGGUAUUCCUGGAAUUUAACUGUGCUAGAAGACGAAGACUGGAGUGUCUCCCAUCCUCCUCACCACGCAUUCCAUCACGUUGGCCAGUUGACAUCCCUGGGCCAUCUGGUCACCCAGAGCAAGGAGUCAGAUGUGUUCAAGAAUUCUCUCCUAGACCCUCUGAUCUAUAAAAGGGCAGCCAAGGGACCAGAGUCCAUCAACAAGUGAAGGGAUUGGAAAACUGUGACCGUGACUCUCCAGACUCCCCAUCGCUGCCAUUCAAGCCUCAGCUUCAGAUGUUUCCCGCCCUGGCAUCCACCCACAUGCACUAGCCGUUUGGAAGCCUGCGUGGUUUAUUUAGUGUGCAGACAUUUAUGGACUCCUUUGGCAUGUCAGCCUUCAAGGACACGGAACUGGGCAGACACAGCUGUGGACUCAUCAGGCUCUAAGCUUAGUGGGGAAGACAAAUAUUUAAUAAACAACAGCAUAUGUGUCUGUGUGACCGCUAUGCAGAUAAGCAAUACAAGUUAAGAGAUGAGGCUGGAGAGAUAGCUCAACAGUAGAAGGCACUUGAUACUCAUGUACAGGACUGGGAUUCUGUUCCCAGCACCCACAUGGUGACUCACAACCUCCUAUACCUCCAGUUUCAGGGGACUGAAUGGCCUCUUCUGGCCUCUGUGACCACCAGGCACACAAAUGGUAUGCAUACAUACACAGGGGGCACUCAUACAUACAUAGAAGAUAAAAGUAAAUAUAAACCUUAAAAAAAAGAUGUACAGAGACUCUAGGGGCUGAGACUCUGGGCACAACUGGAGAAUAGAUACUUAUGUUGAAACUUGAGGUUGGGGAAGGUAUUAGUCAGGUAGGAGAGUAGAGGUUUUCCUUGGCAGGGACAGGGCAGGUAAAGGCUAUGACCCUGGGGCAGCCUGGGGUGGUCAAGAAGCCAGUGUAGCAGUUAGCACAUAUUGAUCACUGGCUAUGUGUCCAGCCUGUUCUAAGAGCUAGAGUAGUACAGUGCUUCUAAUGUCUCAUUUCAGAAAUGAGAAAACUGAGUCAAAAGGGGAUCAAGUCACCCUGAAGUCACAAUGCUACAAAGCAUCAGAGUCACCAUUUGGAUACAGGGCAUCUGACUUCAGGCCUAGAUGCUCAGCCCUCUGGCAGAGCUCCUCCACAAAGAUAGGAAGUCACCAGUGUCAAUGGUAACACCAUGUUAGGUGAAUGUAAAAAGACAAAGUCACUCUCCCGCCAUACCUGUAGAGCCUGGAAGGACAGCAGUGGGCUCAAAAAGGUGUUUUCUUUGUCAGCUGUGAUGGAUGCGGUUGUUGUGCCCGUGAUGGGACCAGGGCUUGAUGCAUACUGGGUAAAUAGCCUUCCACUGAGCUACGUCCUGAGCCAGAGAACAGUCUCUUUAAGAAAGAGAAAGAGGCUAACUUCUCAGAGUCAUGAGAGAGGAAGCACGAGGGCAAGAAUGGUGUCAGCAUUGUCUCAUUGUCUUAAACCGUGCUGACAGUUGUCAGCGGCGGGCAGCUCCUCAUUGGUACUUCCUGUAGGCUGGGCCGUCUUUGGAGUGCACUGUGUUCUUUGAGUCAUGUCAAUAUAACAACUUCAUAAGGUCAGGGCUGCCCCUCUCUCCACUUCAGACAUAGAGGUUCCACGACUUGCUGAUGUUGCAUUAAGGAGGUGGCAAGGCUGGGUUUCUUAACAGAGCUUGUCUAGGCUCUGCUUUUGUGGAGGCUGCUGAAACACAGCCCCAUGGCUCUCACCUGAUAGGGAAGCGCUGCCCCCCCCCCCAGGCUUAGGGGUGUGGUUAUGGCCACCCUAUCACACUGCCUCUCAAGUGCUUUCAAAGCUGCACGUAGGAGGGGAAAUGGCGAUGGAGGAACUGACCUGGGCUCACUCUGCAUUUGGGGAUGAAGAGCACUACUGCUGUGCUCAGCCCCAGGUGGGAAUUAUUCCCAGCCCCCCUUUGAGAGGACUCUACAUAGAGUUCAGCCGCUCUGACUGUCACAUCCACACAUUCAAGGUGGAAGCGACUCGCCCACCAUUGACCCUGGUGACAUGUUCCCAAACAUAGUGGAAAGAACUUUCCAGAAGGCUAGUGGCCCUCCUCAGAUUUCAUCAGAGGUCACCCUCUGAGACUUGGCUGUCCAUCAAACCAUCAAAGAUGUGGGACACAGCUUCGGCUCAGAACCAGAAUCUUGUGUGUUCUUUUGUUUUCUGGUUAGCCCAGCGGGCUGAAAGUCAGACCUGUUAGUACAGCAAAGUUGAAUCUUCCACUCUUAAGAGCACAGUGUGCAUGGACAAGCCUGGAGGUAGGUGGAAGGGAAGAGAUGGCCUGGGAAGGCCUGGAGGUUGGGUUAAGGGAAGAGAUGGUGGCCUGGAGCUGUGACAGCUGAGGUCAGUCAGACACUCCUCUUUCUACAACACUAGCACCCUCUAGUGGGGGCUGUCUCUAUUUACACUGCAGGUUUCUGUGCCUUACUUAGGUGAUAUUUUCACUCAGCUCCAAUUGAAAUGUUUUGUUUGGUUUUUUUCAAGGCAGGGUUUUUCUGUGUAGAUCUGGCUGUCCGGGACAUUGCUCUGUAGAUCAGGCUAGUCUUGAACUCAGAGAUGUGCCUGCCUCUGCCUCCCGAGUGCACAACUAGAUCUGGCCUCUCCAACUGAAAUUUAACACGUCCUUGAAUGAUUAUUAUGGUAAUUAUUAUUCAUUAGACAAAAACACUACUUGUGAUUUUUUUGCCCCCCCCCCCAGUAAGUCAGCAUAUUUUAAAGAAAUAUCGUAUAACAUUGGUUGGAAACAACAGGAAGUGUCAUGUAUAUCUGUUACUACUGGCUACCAGAGAUGUCAUUCCAGCAUGUAAUUAAAUACGUUAAUAAAGAAGUGUACUGUGUGUGAUGGCUGUAA